ensembl:miRNA
GGUUUCUCUGUGUAGCUUUGGAGCCGAUCCUGGCACUCACUCUGGAGACCAGGCUGGCCUUGAACUCACAGAGAUUCACCUGCCUCUGCCUCCCGAGUGCUGGGAUUAAAGGCGUGCGCCACCAAUGCCC